rnacentral:rRNA from 1 species
UACGAAGGGGGCUAGCGUUGCUCGGAAUUACUGGGCGUAAAGCGCACGUAGGCGGACAUUUAAGUCAGGGGUGAAAUCCCGGGGCUCAACCCCGGAACUGCCCUUUGAUACUGGGUGUCUUGAGUGUGGUAGAGGUGAGUGGAAUUGCGAGUGUAGAGGUGAAAUUCGUAGAUAUUCGCAGGAACACCAGUGGCGAAGGCGGCUCACUGGACCACAACUGACGCUGAGGUGCGAAAGCGUGGGGAGCAAACAGG